rnacentral:rRNA from 1 species
GGAAGGGGUGUAUUUAUUAGAUAAAAAACCAACGCCCUUCGGGGCUCCUUGGUGAGUCAUAAUAACUUAACGAAUCGCAUGGCCUUGCGCCGGCGAUAGUUCAUUCAAAUUUCUGCCCUAUCAACUUUCGAUGGUAGGAUAGUGGCCUACCAUGGUGGCAACGGGUAACGGGGAAUUAGGGUUCGAUUCCGGAGAGGGAGCCUGAGAAACGGCUACCACAUCCAAGGAAGGCAGCAGGCGCGCAAAUUACCCAAUCCCGAUACGGGGAGGUAGUGACAAUAAAUACUGAUACGGGGCUCUUUUGGGUCUCGUAAUUGGAAUGAGAACAAUUUAAAUCCCUUAACGAGGAACAAUUGGAGGGCAAGUCUGGUGCCAGCAGCCGCGGUAAUUCCAGCUCCAAUAGCGUAUAUUAAAGUUGUUGCAGUUAAAAAGCUCGUAGUUGAACCUUGGGUCUGGCUGGCCGGUCCGCCUCACCGCGAGUACUGGUCCGGCUGGACCUUUCCUUCUGGGGAAUCUCAUGGCCUUCACUGGCUGUGGGGGGAACCAGGACUUUUAC